CUCAUUAAAUCAGUUAUCGUUUAUUUGAUAGUACCUUACUACAUGGAUACCUGUGGUAAUUCUAGAGCUAAUACAUGCUAAAAACCCCGACUUCGGAAGGGGUGUAUUUAUUAGAUAAAAAACCAAUGCCCUUCGGGGCUCCUUGGUGAUUCAUAAUAACUUAACGAAUCGCAUGGCCUUGCGCCGGCGAUGGUUCAUUCAAAUUUCUGCCCUAUCAACUUUCGAUGGUAGGAUAGUGGCCUACCAUGGUGGCAACGGGUAACGGGGAAUUAGGGUUCGAUUCCGGAGAGGGAGCCUGAGAAACGGCUACCACAUCCAAGGAAGGCAGCAGGCGCGCAAAUUACCCAAUCCCGACACGGGGAGGUAGUGACAAUAAAUACUGAUACGGGGCUCUUUCGGGUCUCGUAAUUGGAAUGAGUACAAUCUAAAUCCCUUAACGAGGAACAAUUGGAGGGCAAGUCUGGUGCCAGCAGCCGCGGUAAUUCCAGCUCCAAUAGCGUAUAUUAAAGUUGUUGCAGUUAAAAAGCUCGUAGUUGAACCUUGGGUCUGGCUGGCCGGUCCGCCUCACCGCGAGUACUGGUCCGGCUGGACCUUUCCUUCUGGGGAAUCCCAUGGCCUUCACUGGCUGUGGGGGGAACCAGGACUUUUACUGUGAAAAAAUUAGAGUGUUCAAAGCAGGCCUUUGCUCGAAUACAUUAGCAUGGAAUAAUAGAAUAGGACGUGCGGUUCUAUUUUUGUUGGUUUCUAGGACCGCCGUAAUGAUUAAUAGGGAUAGUCGGGGGCGUCAGUAUUCAGCUGUCAGAGGUGAAAUUCUUGGAUUUGCUGAAGACUAACUACUGCGAAAGCAUUCGCCAAGGAUGUUUUCAUUAAUCAGGGAACGAAAGUUAGGGGAUCGAAGACGAUCAGAUACCGUCGUAGUCUUAACCAUAAACUAUGCCGACUAGGGAUCGGGCGGUGUUUCUAUGAUGACCCGCUCGGCACCUUACGAGAAAUCAAAGUUUUUGGGUUCUGGGGGGAGUAUGGUCGCAAGGCUGAA
rnacentral:rRNA from 1 species